rnacentral:rRNA from 1 species
UACGGGGGGGGCAAGCGUUGUUCGGAAUUACUGGGCGUAAAGGGCUCGUAGGCGGCCAACUAAGUCAGACGUGAAAUCCCCAGGCUUAACCUGGGAACUGCGUCUGAUACUGGAUGGCUUGAAUUCGGGAGAGGGAUGCAGAAUUCCAGGUGUAGCGGUGAAAUGCGUAGAUAUCUGGAGGAACACCGGUGGCGAAGGCGGCCAUCUGGCUCAACAUUGACGCUGAGGCACGAAAGCGUGGGAGCAAACAGG